GCUGCCAGUUCGUGUUCGUGCGUGAUUGCAUCCAGCCAUUAGCCAUUGUACUUUCUAGCCCUAAGCAUUGUCCGAUUGUCCGGAUCCCGAAGUGCAUGAAUUUUUAUAUAUUUCUCUGUGAGAGAGAGAGAACAUCCGUAUAACAUUCAUCGAGAUUAUCGUCUUUGUUCAAUUUGCCUAAAUCGUUAUUGUUUGUUCGAUCACGCAAUCUUUUGGUCUCACAAGAUAGUGAUAUAUAAUAAAAGAAAGAGGAUUCUUCUAAUAACCUUGAGCAGAUCAUCUCUAACUAUUAACUUCGUUCUGUUUAUUUCCUCAUAUAACGUUUUCUAAAGCAACAUUUCAAACAGUUGAGUGAGUCUACAAAAGAAAUUUGCCAAGGACAAGUUACUACUUUGAAAGGAAAUAUCCUUAUAUGAAUCCUAUCUCAGUCCAGUUUUAUUUCUCCUUUCACACAAAC